AUCGUGGCAAACAAAGUACUCUGACAACCCCUAUACACAUACUUUUCCUGACCUGGUUCGCGAAAUAUCACUAUCCUAUCUCCACAAUUAAUCGUCAUAUAAUAACGAGUCAACCAAUCCAUCGCUAACACAACGUCAAAGUCCUGCAACUGUCUCAAAAUCAAUAGGUCUACAGGCAAGACCCACUGCCCUAACUGCACUGGACACGACAU
rnacentral:lncRNA from 1 species